GGAAAUUUAGCUCAGCUGGUAGAGCAUCUCCUUUACACGGAGGGGGUCAGGGGUUCGAGUCCCUUAAUUUCCA
rnacentral:tRNA from 1 species